GACGGAGGAUGCAAGUGUUAUCCGGAAUCACUGGGCGUAAAGCGUCUGUAGGUGGUUUAAAAAGUCUAUUGUUAAAAAUUGAAGACUUUAACUUCAAAGAUGCAAUGGAAACUUUUAAACUUGAGUAUGGUAGGGGUAGAGGGAAUUUCCAGUGGAGCGGUGAAAUGCGUAGAUAUUGGAAAGACCACCAAUGGCGAAGGCACUCUACUGGGCCAUUACUGACACUGAGAGACGAAAGCUAGGGGAGCAAAUGGG
rnacentral:rRNA from 1 species